rnacentral:rRNA from 1 species
AGUUGGAUUUCUUGUGCAUGAAGCGGGUCGGCUCAAAGAGUCUGUACUAGCUUUCAUGCACAAUCCUCGUAACAAGCUGUCGGUGAGUUAACUCCAUUCGGCAGUGAGUUGCGUCAUUUACUGUGAACAAAUUAGAGUGUUUAAAGCAGGCAAAUGCUGUGAAUACAUUAGCAUGGAAUAAUAAGAUAGGACCUAGAGUCUAUUUUGUUGGUUGCGAUUUUAGGUAAUGAUUAAUAGGGAUAGUUGGGGGUAUUCAUAUUCAAUUGUCAGAGGUGAAAUUCUUU